AGACCGGCGCACGGGUGCGUAACGCGUAUGCAAUCUACCUUUUACAGAGGGAUAGCCCAGAGAAAUUUGGAUUAAUACCUCAUAGUAUAGCAGUUUCGCAUGAAACCACUAUUAAAGUCACAACGGUAAAAGAUGAGCAUGCGUCCCAUUAGCUAGUUGGUAAGGUAACGGCUUACCAAGGCUACGAUGGGUAGGGGUCCUGAGAGGGAGAUCCCCCACACUGGUACUGAGACACGGACCAGACUCCUACGGGAGGCAGCAGUGAGGAAUAUUGGACAAUGGGCGCAAGCCUGAUCCAGCCAUGCCGCGUGCAGGAUGACGGUCCUAUGGAUUGUAAACUGCUUUUAUACAGGAAGAAACCCUGGUUCGUGAACCAGCUUGACGGUACUGUAAGAAUAAGGAUCGGCUAACUCCGUGCCAGCAGCCGCGGUAAUACGGAGGAUCCAAGCGUUAUCCGGAAUCAUUGGGUUUAAAGGGUCCGUAGGCGGUUUAAUAAGUCAGUGGUGAAAGCCCAUCGCUCAACGGUGG
rnacentral:rRNA from 1 species